rnacentral:piRNA from 1 species
UGUUUGCUUUUAAUCAUGCCUGAACUGGCC